UACAGAGGGGGCAAGCGUUGUUCGGAAUUACUGGGCGUAAAGGGCGCGUAGGCGGCCCGCUAAGUCGAACGUGAAAUCCCUGGGCUCAACCCAGGAACUGCGUCCGAUACUGGCAGGCUUGAAUCCGGGAGAGGGAUGCGGAAUUCCAGGUGUAGCGGUGAAAUGCGUAGAUAUCUGGAGGAACACCGGUGGCGAAGGCGGCAUCCUGGACCGGUACUGACGCUGAGGAGCGAAAGCGUGGGGAGCAAACAGG
rnacentral:rRNA from 1 species